rnacentral:rRNA from 1 species
GAUCACGCGGGAAUCUUACCGGGUCCGGACACACUGAGGAUUGACAGGUUUCGAGAGUUUUUUUGGAGUUCGCUCCAGAAUGCUCUCUUAAAUAUGCUAGUCCUUUCAUGAUUAUGUGAUAGGUGGUGCAUGGCCGUUCUUAGUUCGUGGAGUGAUCUGUCUGCUUAAUUGCGUUUCACUAAAGGCGUCAUUAUAUUUUUGUGCUUGUGUUUGACCCCUCUUUCUUCGGAUUGAGCGCGUGUCUUUCACACACAAUUACUUUGACGUCUGAAAGCAACGAACGUGACCGUAACCUCUUGUUGCCUUCUCUUCUCUUCGGAGAAUGCUAGUUUUUUUCUUCGGAUAAAUUCUAGUAUAUGGAGGCUUUUACUCAAACUAGAGGGACCGCUGUUACUUUCUUUAAACCAGAGGAAGGUUGCGGCAAUAACAGGUCUGUGAUGC